rnacentral:rRNA from 1 species
GACGAACGCUGGCGGCGUGCCUAAUACAUGCAAGUUGAGCGCUGAAGGUUGGUACUUGUACCGACUGGAUGAGCAGCGAACGGGUGAGUAACGCGUGGGGAAUCUGCCUUUGAGCGGGGGACAACAUUUGGAAACGAAUGCUAAUACCGCAUAAAAACUUUAAACACAAGUUUUAAGUUUGAAAGAUGCAAUUGCAUCACUCAAAGAUGAUCCCGCGUUGUAUUAGCUAGUUGGUGAGGUAAAGGCUCACCAAGGCGAUGAUACAUAGCCGACCUGAGAGGGGGAUCGGCCACAUGGGGACUGAGAAACGGCCCAAACUCCUACGGGAGGCAGCAGUAGGGAAUCUUCGGCAAUGGACGAAAGUCUGACCGAGCAACGCCGCGUGAGUGAAGAAGGUUUUCGGAUCGUAAAACUCUGUUGGUAGAGAAGAACGUUGGUGAGAGUGGAAAGCUCAUCAAGUGACGGUAACUACCCAGAAAGGGACGGCUAACUACGUGCCAGCAGCCGCCGUAA